rnacentral:lncRNA from 1 species
UGCAUUAAUGGAAAUAAAAUGAAAUAAUCAACAAGCAUUGACCAAAGAUAUAUGAGAUCAAGGUCAAACAAUAGUAAACAGAAGUAAGAUGGAAAUUAGAAGUCAAGAAACAAAUAAAAUAUUUUUGGUAUUUUUCAAAAUUAAAAUAAUACUUGAAUUAAAAUAAUAAAGAAAGGUCAAACUUCAAAUUCACUUCAAAUCAACUAUGAAAAGUCCAAGUGAAUUAUCCCAAGUUCAACAAGGUCAAACAAAGUUUGACAAAAAAUUUCAGCAUUUUUAGAAGUCAG